UUGAAAUCAGAAUUGACUAAAUUCAGUAUCGUCAGAGAAUUACAAAAUUGAAGACUGGCCAAAAACAUUUCCAAUCAGUCCAUUUCCAGGUUAGAUUGUCUCGAAUAAGUCAUUUAGCUGAAAAGAAGACAGGAACAGCUCUAGGUCAAAUAUUUAAUCAUCCUGGGAACAAAGAAGCAACUUUAUUGGACUAGUUUUAAAUAUGCUUCACAAAUACCAAAUUAGAAAAGAUGUAACAUAUUGGAUAAAACAGGCUCCAUUUCACACUUUUUUUUUAAACAUGUGGAUGAUUGUAAGCUUUCAUGUUGAGAUGUACCAUAAUCAGGUGACAAAAACAGAAACUGAUGAAGUUGGUUUUAUUUUCCAUAUCGGUGCCCUUCUUAUUUUACAAAGGGAUUAAAAGUACAGUAAAGUGGAUUUGUUUGGAGAGCAUUUAAAUGACCUUUCAUAAACUUUUCUUCACUUUAUCCUACUCUACCUUAGUGAGAUCCUGUUAAUCAGCACUGACUUGACGCUAACAGGCUCUGACCCACAUUAACACCUCAGUUUUUAAAACCAGCCUGGAAACAUUUGGUCCUGCUCUGCACGCCCUGCAAAUCCUCUGUUCAGCAGUCAUCAACAACAGCCACUCAUAAUUUAGAAAAGCUUCAGUCUCUGCAAACGCAAGAGCGGCCUGUCAGGAAAGUUUAGUUAAAAUUCUCCAGACUGAACAUGAAAGGUUGCUGCUGAAACCUGAUCAAAAGCUAUCAUUUUUUCCCCCUCUUUGCUUUGUUACAUACCUAACUGUCGGCUGCCUGGAUCCUCCAGUGAGAAGCUUUUUGGCCGCUUCAAGAGAAGAGUUGAAACAGGACCAAGCUUUGCCCCAGAUUUUUUUUUCUUUUCUAUUAGCCUCCUAGUUUAUCUCAUUUGAAUCCUAAUUUGUUCAUAAAGUCUUACAUUGACUAUCAUUGAACACAAAACGUCCCAGAGAAGACCACAGGUAUUAGUUUCCCAGGUCAAUGGAAAUGGUGAAUAAAAGUAAAAGAAAAUCAGCAAAUAGUAAGUAUGGGUGUGCUAGGCUGGGAGGAAAAUGUGUGAUGGUGUAAUUCACUCAGUGUCCUCUGCUAGUCCUUCUUUUUGCCCAAACCUCAAUGGCUUUUGAGAAGAAAAUCUCUCCAACCACCUGUUGUAAUUAUGCGCUGCUGCUUUGUUGCAACAACCUGAACCACAUAAUGGGCCUCAAACCACAUCACCUCGACAGCAAUUUACCUUGAGCUGGCCCGGGAGUGUGCUGGCUCACAUCCAGUGCGUCACAGAAAGUCACAGUUUGUUUCUUGCGCAGGAGGAAGUGGAAGACGGCUGCACCGAUGAGCCUGAAACAUUUCAGGUCUUUGAUAUAAUGUUCACCCAAUUUUAAAACUUUGCCUCACUGUCAUAUCUAACAGACAAACAGACAAAAUUUUUAGUCCAAUGCAUUUUCAUAGCUGGGUUGGGAAUUGUAAGUAGUUGUCAAUAUUUUAUGACCUACAGUACAUAUAAUAUUUUCAUUUUAGGAGAACAGCUGAAGAUUGCAAGAUUGUUAAUCUCAUUUUAUUUGCGCAUCUUUCAUGCCCAAAAGUAAUUUAUCGCCACAGCAUGUAAAUUUAAACCCUUUAAACAUCUGUAUACAUUAGACAGUUAUAAAAAGUAAGUUUCAAUCUUUUAAAAUAAUGUUGUAACCACGGCAUUCACAGUGAUGCAGAAGUAAGCACUGCCAUCUUGGAUUAGGUCUGGAAUCCCUGCCUGGUGUGUUGGACAAAGAGUUUGCAUUUUCUUCCCAUUAAUCAGAUUACUCUGGGUAAUCUGGCUUUCUCCACAGUACACCAACAUGACUGUAAGGGUAUCUUUGUACUCUAAUAUUGGCCUUUGGUAUGGGGAAUAGACUGUGUGGCUUAUCCACUUCCUCUCACCCAAGGACUGGUGGAGAAAGGCACCAUCCACUACCCUGUAAGGAUAAGCAGAAACAGACAAUGGAUGGAUGCUUUGUUUAUUAAAAAAUGAAUAGGUAUAAUUCUAUUGCGUUUGUUCCGCAACCGGUGGGUUGCCAGUUCGAUCCACUCUCUGUCCACCUAUGUUGUUGUGUCCAUCGGCAAGACACUUCACCCGUCUUGUCUCCUGGUGGUGGUCAGACUGCCACAAGGCGCUUGUGGCUACUGUCCAAAAGCUUGCCACCAUCAGUGUGUGAAUGUGUGAGUGAAGGCGUGAAUGACAGAAUGUAAAGCGCCAUUUACAAUUUUCCAGUUUGAUGCUUCCAUCAUCACUGGUAUCGAUGAAUGGGUACUUUGGUAGUUAAGACAACUUUUGCCAAUGUCCUGCAAGACUUGAUCUUAUCUGCAGUAGAGAUCUUGACUACGGACCGUUCAUACUCCAUGUCCCCAAACUCUCUUGAGGUGAUUAAAAAGCUUCUUGGUAGCAAGGCCCUGAUGGUGGAUGAGAUUCACCUGGAGUUCCUUAAGGGGGUAGUUAUCCUGGAUUGGCAGAUCUGGGUGGUGGUUGAGUGUUUUCCAAUUGCAGCAGGAUCACACUCCUAAGACACCCAGGUAUGGUCUCGAAAUACCACUUGCCACAUGCCACGAAAUACAUCUUGCAUUAAUUAGUACCAUGCACUUUUCACUGAUUGAUCAGUGUUGUUGUUGGUAUAAAGUAGGUAUGCCUUGAAUUAGUCACUAGCCACAAGGCUAACACACAAACAGACAAGAUGAAUCAUCAUGACUCAGACUUUCAACCAUGUCUCUCAUCAGCCUAACAUAUUCUGUAGAUUGGGGAGAAACUCGGAGUACCCAGAGAGAACCCACGUCAGGACGCUUCUGGUCAAGACUGGAACACAGAGACUUCUUGUUGCAUCCCAUGCAUCCCGCAUUAGUAAAUCUCUGUUAGAAUCAUCAACACCAGAAAAGUUCAGGCAGAAUUCUGACUGAUUUUUAUGACUGAAUUGGGUUUUUGGUCAGUUCCCAUGCACGAAUAUUGAGUAUGCCUAUUGGGCACCGUAAAGUAUCCAUGAGAAAAAGAAAUAGUUAGUCCUUCAAUGAAAUUAGCCCAAAAAGAAAUUGGAUUUCAUUUACUCAAAACCAAGUUUUGCAUUAAAAUUUUGCCCUCAAAAUAACAUUUUUGGGAGGAGAAAGUAACUGUUUUUGUGAUAUACCAUAGAAGUGAGGCUAUAUAAAUGUGGGAAGGUGGAGAGGUUAGACAUCACCUGGAGCGCUCCAGUCGCACACAGUGGUGGUUAGCGAAGACUGUGUGUGGGUGGUGUCGCUCUGCCGGAGCCUGAGAAAAUUGUAGCAGUGAGAAAUGCUGGAAAAUCCAGCAUUCAAGCUACAUCUGAAGUACCUAUUCGUGUUUGAGUGGAGAUCUUGAAUAAGUCUCUAACUGGAUGAAAUGACUGUCUGGGAAUGACCUCGGUGUGUAGAAGUGAUUAAGGGACGCAGUUUUGCAUAACGACUUUGAGCGCGGUGUUCCCAGUGACAUUAAAGAAGUCCUGCUGAAGUUCUUUACCAGUUGUUGAGCACACUGACACUGUUUUUCAGUUUUUGCUGCUGUUUUAUGUGUUCCAGCAAUAACAACAUUAUACACUCAGACUUAUGGAACUUAAAAAUAUAAGUAAUUUAGCUGGAAAACCAAAAAGCCCUGCAGUGGCUUCUCCAUCAACAUCUGGAUGGAAAGAAGUAUGUGUGUGAGAGAGCAGUUGUAUGCAGUAAAACAAAGCUGCAACAGAAAGCUUGUCAUUAGCUCAGUCUGAACCAUUUUGGAUGUUUUCUGCUGAAUUUAAACCCUUACCCACCCGCUUCAGCGUGACUUGCUCUUGUAAACACAUAGAAAGUAGCAUUGAAAAUGCUCUAACAAAGUCAAUAAGAGCAGACAUUGUUAACGUCGUGGGGUUGGUGCCCAACAUCAGGUAACCUCUUCAUAGUUCCUCACCUGUCUCUUCGUUCUUACAAAUCGUCGCCAUGAUGCUCUUUUUCUGUCACUUUGGUCAAACUCUGCAUUUUCAAGUUUAUCUUCAUUUUUCUGCUCAUUCUAGUGUAAUCCUUCCCCCCACUCUUUCUGUCUUUCUGCCUUUUUUUUUAAUUUCAUGCGUUAGGCAGUGGACAGCCAGAGCAAUGGCUUUACCAGACCUACCUGUAGGGCUGCUUAAGGCGGCUCUUUCAUCUGGGCUCUGGAGAAAGAAGCCCCUGGCCCUAAAACAGCUGUGUGGAGCUGGGAGUGAGAGGACUGUGAAAAAAGGCAGAAAAGAAAGAAGGGAAAUUCAGUGGUCUUCUGGGAAUCCUGCCUCCGUAUACCUCUUUGCUCCUUUUUUCCCCUUCUUUGUCUUUAAGUCCACCUUUCUCCGCCUCCUUCUUUCUUAAUUUAUAUGUUAUCAUCACUGACCAACAACAGAUUUGAUUAAACUAUUUUAAGCCAUUUUGA